UUCCCUGUAACGCAAUCGAUAGCGCGUUAGACUUUUAAUCCAAAAGUUGUGGGUUCGAAUUCCACCAGGGAUG
rnacentral:tRNA from 1 species